CCCUUAGAUGUUCUGGGCCGCACGCGUGCUACACUGAUGCAUUCAACGAGUCUAAAACCUGGUCUGAUAGGGCUGGGUAAUCUUUUGAAAGUGCAUCGUGAUUGGGAUAGAUGAUUGCAAUUCUUCAUCUUCAACGAGGAAUGCCUAGUAAACGCAAGUCAUCAGCUUGCAUUGAUUACGUCCCUGCCCUUUGUACACACCGCCCGUCGCUCCUACCGAUUGGAUGAUCCGGUGAGCUAUUCGGACCUUCGCUUCGUCGAUUUUCGGCUUUGUGAGGGAAAGUCUCGCGAACCUUAUCAUCUAGAGGAAGGAGAAGUCGUAACA
rnacentral:rRNA from 1 species